rnacentral:rRNA from 1 species
GACGAACGCUGGCGGCGUGCUUAACACAUGCAAGUCGAACGAAGUGGCGAACGGGUGAGUAAUACGUGGGUAAACUGCCCUCCUUUUUGGGAUAAGCCUUGGAAACGGGGUCUAAUACAGAAUGAAGGGGGAGGGGAUCGAGGCCUAUCAGCUUGUUGGUGGGGGGAUGGCCUACCAAGGCGGUGACGGGUAGCCGGCCCUAGAGGGUGACCGGCCACAUUGGGACUGAGAGACGGUCCAGACUCCUACGGGAGGCAGCAGUGGGGAAUAUUUCACAAUGGGCGCAAGCCUGAUGCAGCCAUGCCGCGUUUAUGAAGAAGGCCUUCGGGUUGUAAAGUACUUUCAGCGAGGAGGCGUUACUCGCAGAAGAAGCACCGGCUAACUCCGUGCCAGCAGCCGCGGUAAUUC